rnacentral:tRNA from 1 species
UCCCUCGAUAGCUCAGUUGGCAGAGCGGAGGAGUGUAGAUGUUACAACAGUGAUCCUUAGGUCGCUGGUUCAAAUCCGGCUCGAGGAA